GAGUCCCCGGGGAGCGGCAGUGGCGGCGUCCUGGGGCCAGGAGGAGCGAACACCUGCCGCGGUCCUCCCGCCGGCGCUGGGCACACGACUGUCUAUCCCAGAUGGCUGCACUGGCCUAGGACAGACGGUUCUUCCCCCAGUACGUCAAGACCCUGGAGGGUGCAAGCUACAGAACAGCUGGGCUCCUGCAUUCCUCCCAGACCCUGUCUUCAGUAGGACAACAGGCAACAAACUUAAAUUUGGGUCAAGCGAUUCCCCUGCCUCAGCUUCCUGAGUAGCUGGGAUUACAGAUAGCCCUGGGAUCUCCUGAAUUUCCAGGUUGGGCUACUCAGGCAUGGAUUGACUCCUACAGUUCAGGCGGAUGGAGAUCCCACCAACCCACAGCUUAAUUCUUCAGAUGCUUUAUCUUCAUUUCUCAUGUAUCUUCAGUUGGCUUCUAAUGCUCUGUGUGCUCCGGGAUGGAGCAGGUGUGCAGAGGGUGAGAAUCCAGGUCUGGGACCAAGUCACUUGCUUCCUUACUUAGCAAGACUAUCGACUUG
rnacentral:sRNA from 1 species